rnacentral:lncRNA from 1 species
AAGCAUUUGAAUAGAGAGAGAUGAUUUCAUUUCAUAGAAUGGCAGAGCAAAACUGGGGCAGAUGUAAGAAUGAAAGAUCCAGAGCAGCAAAUGUAGGCAGAACAUGAAGUCUUCUGUGCGGAAGAGGAGAGCUGAGAGGCAGAUGGGGGGAACUAGGAGGACUUAAAGGACUCCACACAGAGAGACAGAGUCUAGGAGUGGAUGCACAUAUAGCCUGGAAAACAUGGUUCUUUUCACCACAGUGGCUCCAGGGAAGGAGAGGAGGUAAGCAGAGAAGGAAGCUGCUGUAACUAUCUUCCUCCUCUACUUGUUGGGUCCUGCGCUUAUUGGCAGAUUUGCUCAACUCAGUGAUCUUCCCCACAGUCUGGAUCAACUCCUCCUGUGUCUGAUCAGGAGUUGGGAGGUUUAGGGGGAACCCAGGCCCACCCUCUGCUCCGGGUUCCAGCCCAGGGCCCUGUGGAUUGCAGCUGUCUAUA